UACGUAGGGGGCAAGCGUUGUCCGGAAUCAUUGGGCGUAAAGAGCGUGUAGGCGGCCAGAUAAGUCCGCUGUGAAAUCUCGAGGCUCAACUUCGAGCUGUCGGUGGAAACUGUCUGGCUAGAGUCCGGAAGAGGAGAAUGGAAUUCCUGGUGUAGCGGUGAAAUGCGUAGAUAUCUGGAGGAAUACCAGUGGCGAAGGCGGCUCACUGGACCGGUACUGACGCUGAAGCGCGAAAGCGUGGGGAGCGAACAGG
rnacentral:rRNA from 1 species